rnacentral:rRNA from 1 species
GAUGUUAGCGGCGGACGGGUGAGUAACACGUGGAUAACCUACCUAUAAGACUGGGAUAACUUCGGGAAACCGGAGCUAAUACCGGAUAAUAUUUUGAACCGCAUGGUUCAAAAGUGAAAGACGGUCUUGCUGUCACUUAUAGAUGGAUCCGCGCUGCAUUAGCUAGUUGGUAAGGUAACGGCUUACCAAGGCAACGAUGCAUAGCCGACCUGAGAGGGUGAUCGGCCACACUGGAACUGAGACACGGUCCAGACUCCUACGGGAGGCAGCAGUAGGGAAUCUUCCGCAAUGGGCGAAAGCCUGACGGAGCAACGCCGCGUGAGUGAUGAAGGUCUUCGGAUCGUAAAACUCUGUUAUUAGGGAAGAACAUAUGUGUAAGUAACUGUGCACAUCUUGACGGUACCUAAUCAGAAAGCCACGGCUAACUACGUGCCAGCAGCCGCGGUAAUACGUAGGUGGCAAGCGUUAUCCGGAAUUAUUGGGCGUAAAGCGCGCGUAGGCGGUUUUUUAAGUCUGAUGUGAAAGCCCACGGCUCAACCGUGGAGGGUCAUUGGAAACUGGAAAACUUGAGUGCAGAAGAGGAAAGUGGAAUUCCAUGUGUAGCGGUGAAAUGCGCAGAGAUAUGGAGGAACACCAGUGGCGAAGGCGACUUUCUGGUCUGUAACUGACGCUGAUGUGCGAAAGCGUGGGGAUCAAACAGGAUUAGAUACCCUGGUAGUCCACGCCGUAAACGAUGAGUGCUAAGUGUUAGGGGGUUUCCGCCCCUUAGUGCUGCAGCUAACGCAUUAAGCACUCCGCCUGGGGAGUACGACCGCAAGGUUGAAACUCAAAGGAAUUGACGGGGACCCGCACAAGCGGUGGAGCAUGUGGUUUAAUUCGAAGCAACGCGAAGAACCUUACCAAAUCUUGACAUCCUUUGACAACUCUAGAGAUAGAGCCUUCCCCUUCGGGGGACAAAGUGACAGGUGGUGCAUGGUUGUCGUCAGCUCGUGUCGUGAGAUGUUGGGUUAAGUCCCGCAACGAGCGCAACCCUUAAGCUUAGUUGCCAUCAUUAAGUUGGGCACUCUAAGUUGACUGCCGGUGACAAACCGGAGGAAGGUGGGGAUGACGUCAAAUCAUCAUGCCCCUUAUGAUUUGGGCUACACACGUGCUACAAUGGACAAUACAAAGGGCAGCGAAACCGCGAGGUCAAGCAAAUCCCAUAAAGUUGUUCUCAGUUCGGAUUGUAGUCUGCAACUCGACUACAUGAAGCUGGAAUCGCUAGUAAUCGUAGAUCAGCAUGCUACGGUGAAUACGUUCCCGGGUCU